rnacentral:rRNA from 1 species
GACGAACACUGGCUGCGUGCCUAAUACAUGCAAGUAAAACGCUGUUGCGAACGGGUUAGUAACUCGUAGGUAACUGCCUCAUAUCGGGGGAAAACUGUUGGAAACGAUAGCUAAUACCGCAUACUGUGAUCUAUACCUGCGUUGUAUUAGGUAGUUGUUGAGGUAAAGGCUCACCAAGGCGACGAUACAUAGCCGUCCUGAGAGGGUGAUCAGACACACUGGGACUGAGACACGGACCAGAAUCCUACGGGAGGCAGCAGUAGGGAAUCUGCGUCAAUGGACUGAAGUCUGACCGAGCAACGCGGCGUGAGUGAAGAAGUUGUUCGGAUCGUAAAGCGCUGUUGUUAGAGAAGCGGUAACUAACCAGACAGGGACGGCUAACUACGUGCCAGCAGCCGCGGUAAUUC